rnacentral:rRNA from 1 species
UACGUAGGCAGCAAGCGUUGUUCGGAGUUACUGGGCGUAAAGGGUGUGUAGGCGGUUGUUUAAGUUUGGUGUGAAAUCUCCCCGGCUCAACUGGGAGGGUGCGCCGAAUACUGAAUGACUAGAGUGCGGGAGAGGUGAGUGGAAUUCCUGGUGUAGCGGUGAAUGCGUAGAUAUCAGGAGGAACACCGGUGGUGUAGACGGCUCACUGGACCGUAACUGACGCUGAAACACGAAAGCGUGGGUAGCAAACAGG